AAAAAAAAAGUUAUUGUUUUUUGAUUUUGUUCUCACCAACAACGUUGAUAGUAUUUGAGAGUGGAAACACUUUAGCGUUAAAGCAAAAUAGCUCUUAAUUGCCUUGUUAUAAUGCUCAAGUUCUAAUAUAUUACAGCCAGUGCUCCAAGCGAAAACGUU